UACGGAGGGUGCAAGCGUUAUCCGGAUUCACUGGGUUUAAAGGGUGCGUAGGUGGGCAGGUAAGUCAGUGGUGAAAUCUCUGAGCUUAACUCAGAAACUGCCGUUGAUACUAUCUGUCUUGAAUAUAGUGGAGGUGAGCGGAAUAUGUCAUGUAGCGGUGAAAUGCUUAGAUAUGACAUAGAACACCAAUUGCGAAGGCAGCUUGCUACACUAUCAUUGACACUGAGGCACGAAAGCGUGGGGAUCAAACAGG
rnacentral:rRNA from 1 species